AAUUACUAACAUUGUGCCAUAUUUUCAGUAUUGUGCGUCUGUUAAAAGUUCACUUGUAAUGUAAAUAUUUGCAUUCUCGCCUCCUAGAGUGGAUGUUUCCUCACCUUCUCAUCUAAAUUUUUUUUUUCAGGCUGGUUGCUUCUCUAUACUUUGAAUUUUUUCCUGUCAAGAUGAGAAAAUGUAUUCCUUUUUCUGCCUCCCUACAAAGGAAUGCAAUAGCUAAUGCAUAAAAGUAAAGUAUUAUCGAUUAAAUAUCCGUUGUAAACUUAAUUUUGAUUGGAAUGUAAAUAAUGGAAAGCUCGCCUGUCAGUGUGGAUGUAUCAUCAACUUCUCAUCCAAAAGUUUAUUCAUCCAGACAAUCCUUCAAUAUGCAAUCAACUUGAUUCUAGGUGAUAAUGCAUGGGAUCAACUACAGAGAUGUAUCAGAAACAAUUUCAGAAGCUUAGUUUUGGUGUGGUGGAGAAGGAAAACAGUAUACUGGGUGGUUGUGGGUGAGAAG